rnacentral:rRNA from 1 species
GACGAACGCUGGCGGCGUGCUUAACACAUGCAAGUCGAACGGAAAGGCCCUGCUUUUGUGGGGUGCUCGAGUGGCGAACGGGUGUGUAACAUGUGAGUCACCUGCCCUUGACUUGGGGAUAACUUCAGAAAACUGGGGCUAAUACCGGAAUGGAGCUCCGGCGGAAUGGUGGGGGUUGGAAGGUUUCGGCGGUUGGGGAUGGACUCGCGGCUUAUCUGCUUGUUGGUGGGGUAGUGGGUUACCAAGACUUUGAGGGGUCGCCGGGCUGAGAGGGUGACCGGCCACAUUGGGAGUGAGAUACGGCCCAGACACCUACGGGAGGCGGCAGUGUGGAAAAUAGCACAAUGGGCGGAAGACUGAUGUAGCAACGCCGCGUGCGGGAUGACGGCCUUCGGGGUGUAAACCGUGUUCGCCUGUGACGAAGAGUGAGUGACGGUAAUGGGUAAAGAAGCACCGGCUAACUACGUG